CCAAAAUGGCGUUCAAGAAUCAAGAGGAGUAGAACAAUAGCCUACGUGAGUCAAAAUCUGGAAAAUCUUGGUCAAAACGAAAACGCGAAAACGGUGAUGCAUAUCCAUAAUGUAUCGUGGAAGAAAUAAUAAGAGAAGAAAUAGGUGGUCGUAGGUCUACUCAGCGACAGUUUCCUUCAAAGAUUUCACCACCUCUUUAAGCAUCUCGUUCUCCUGAACCACCUCUUCAAAACCCUGCACUACGGCACUAAGAUUCUGGGUCCGUGCGUAAUCUAGAAAAUGUGUUGUCGUUGUCACCGGGAAAUGUCCAGAAAAUAUGGAAAUGAAGGUUCUGAGAGCUCCAGUGAUUGCUGCUGUUCAUUCCCUGCUAGCCUGGCUGCUAGAUAAUAUCAAAAAAAUCUUUAAAAAAAAAACAUCUCUUUAUCUGUUGGCUAGGGUUCUGUCACCUGGAUUUAAUCUUUUUACAAGGGUUUUCCGUUUAGGUUUCCAUCUCUCAUAUUGGUCAUACAGAAGCAGUCAACACUCAAGUUCAACGGCGUACAACCGUUCAACAUUGUCCCACGUCUUGCUGGUGCCAUUGAAAACUCGAAUCGCCCAGAUGUGUUCCCUCACAGUCCAGUGCUGUUAGUAGAAGAGUUGAAACUGACAUCGCGAGGAUCCUUCUUCUCGACACCAGCAAACACCUUCUUGCUAGAAAACAUGACAGAGCACUGUCUCGGAUGCCUGACUCUCGGCAGCAGCAGCCAACUCAACGGGGGAACAUGAUGAUAAUUUCCAGAAUUCGACAAGAAGCUUUGCCGCUUGUUUUUAUGUUGAUGAUCAUGCAGAUUUCUUGCCGUUUCCACCAUCGUGAGCAAUGUAGUUUCAAACAAAUUUAUGUAUCCAUCAUCGUCCUGCGACUUAUGGGUCUUGGUCUUGACGAACAAUUUUCCAAUCUUAAUAAGUUUAGUUCCCUUUAUCCCCUUUUCGGUUUUGGUCGUGCCGUAAUUCAUCGAUUCGCCUUCUGUUUUCGUAGCUUUAGCUGCGUUUUCGGUGUGUUUAAUUGCUUAUUUCAGUGCUGCCAGAGCUUCGAUAGCGCUUCCACUUGCUCUUCAGCUAACUUUAUCGGUUUUUGCGCGCAAGACAAAAGUUUCCUCUUGGGUGCCCGAAAGUUUUUGAUUCUCUUGUUUUACUCUGUGUAGUUUUUUUUCGGGAAUCUUCAGCCUCCUUCUUCAGAUCGUCAAUAUUGAACUCUAACUCUCGCAAAGAUGUUUCGUCUUCCAGUUCCAAAUUUACGGAUGGUUAGUUCGUCGUUUUUGGUUAUUUUUCUGCCAGACGUAUCUUUGACAGAUUUCAAGUUCGCGUUUAGUAGGCCGUUUUCGUCGUUGAUGCGUUCUAGCUUCGACAUCUUUGAUGAUAGGGUCUCAUUCUGAUUUUCCAUUUUAGCUUUCAAAUUGGCCACUUCAAUUCGAAGCUGAGAUUCGGUGGUGUCACCACGUCGAGGCAAUGUUCAGCAUUUAUCUUUCUUGAGUUCGUCGAUGUGAGAUUCGAAUGCAGUUAACUCUCUUUUUAGUUGAGUCUAGUUUUUGUGCUUCCUCGGCUUCUUCCGUGGACAGGAUAGCAGCGUCGCGUGCCUCGGAAAUGCGUCGAUUUUCCGCAAGCUGUUCCGUUGUUCUUUUAAAUUCUCCUAACUCGGUUUCUAGCUGCCUUUCUAGACUUGUUAAAGCCAGAGAUUUCUGAGGGGCUAGUUUAAGUUCCACUCUUGAUUUGUGGAUCUCCUCGACUUCCUUAUCGUCGACAACUUUUUGGCCUGCAGGGUAGAAUCCAAGGUCGCUUCUUUUUCUUUCAAGAUUGUCUACUUACUGCUCAAUUGAUCCUUUAAUUCGGUCAGUUCGGUCGGUUUUGAUUUAAUCAUGCGAGAGUUGUCUUUACUCGUUGAAGCCAUGUCUGGUGAAGUAGCCAACUUUAGAAUCAAUUCAUCGUUUUUCAAAGACGUUUCUGUAAAUUUCUUGUUCAGUUCGUUUGUCCUAGCUGUCAGGCGCUUUAUUUCCUCCAAUUUAUAUAAGAGCAGCGAAGGAUCAAAUCUUACAUUUUCCUAAAUUAAAACUCAAAUGGUGGUCACCAAAACAAAUUUAAUGGUAGCAUUGUCUUGCAGUUGUCUUCAAAACAUCAUAGAGCUAGAUCUGGGGAAGGUAGCAAUAUUUUAGAGAUUUAUUACUACAACUUGUGAGCAAAAAGUUAACCUUAAAUUUAAUACAUAUUAAAUGCCACUGCCACAGUUAUAAUUUUAAAUGUUGGAUAAAAUAAGUACUUUGCAAAUAGAAACAAUAAAAAUUUGGCUUUGAAAGACAGCUUGCACUAUUGCAAUUUACCGUUUGAUCUGUUUUCACAAGCACUUAGGCAGCACAUAGGUCACACAAAUACUUCAGCUGAAAUUUUCUGAAAACAUUGAGCGAUUUAAGCCAAGAAUGCAAAAAGAUAAUGUGAUAAUAAAAUGAUAAUAAAUGUGAUCUUAAAUAUA